rnacentral:lncRNA from 1 species
GCCAUGUGGAGGCCCGAGGAGAGGACGAGGCGGUCGGGGCGAUGCCGCCGACGGGCAGCAGAGCGAGGGAGAGCCUCUGUCGGCGGAGAGAAGGGACGGCCACCCACCAGCAGGCAGGAGGGUACCGGUUUCUGCCCAUAGAGAGAAAGGAGAGGACGUUAGCCAAGCAGCAUCCCAGCUCCCAAUCCUCCUGCGAGCCAUCAGUCAGGAACAGCUUCACCCUCUUAGAGGUGAUGCUGGUGCUACUGGCCAAGGAUCACAUUUGGAGAACCACAGAAGUAUUCUCCAGACCCACAGGCCACCCCGAAGCUCAGAGGCUAUAAGUCUGUCUGAUCUCUGCAUCCUCCACCUCCCCAGUCCCCAUGGAGAGUUGAGAGGAACUCCUGCUCUGGCCAAAAUGGAGCUGAUGGUUUACACAGAAACAUCCAGGAGUAUGUGCAUUUCAGAAAAUAAGGGCAACCUGAGAAAUUCCCUUGCCCCAAACACACAAACCACCCAAACCAGAAACAGUGUUCAUCCUCCACUCGUCUCUAGAGUGUCCACUUCAGGAGCGCAGGGGCUGGGCCUGGGCCAGGAUCUCCAGCCCCUGCAACUGUGGGAACCCUCCAGGCCAAGUUCAGAUGCUCCCUCCUCCAUGAGGCCUGCGGUGGCUCCCACUUCUCAGGAUGCACUGAUGGCUCCCUCCUGGGUAUGGGUCCCAAUAUCCCUGCUGUAAGCACUCGUGUGUGUACGGAAAUCUUGUGCCACCUCCUACUGGGUGCUCUCUUAAGGCAAGGGCCACUUCUUCAUGUCCCACAGAAUCCAGCACAAAAUAGAUGCUCUGAGAGUUUCACUUUAGAAGUCCAAUCAAGGAUCAAAUAAACUUUAAAGACUUCUUUUGG